rnacentral:rRNA from 1 species
AGAGUUUGAUCCUGGCUCAGGACGAACGCUGGCGGCGUGCUUUAUACAUGCAAGUCGAACGAUGAAGUUCCUUCGGGAAUGGAUUAGUGGCGAACGGGUGAGGAACACGUGAGAAACCUGCCUUUCAUUCUGGGAUAACACCGGGAAACCGGUGCUAAUACCGGAUACUCCAUCUUGGCGGCAUCGCCGAGCUGGGAAAAAAUUUUGAUGAAAGAUGGUCUCGCGGCCUAUCAGCUAGUUGGUGAGGUAAAGGCUCACCAAGGCGACGACGGGUAGCCGGCCUGAGAGGGCGACCGGCCACACUGGGACUGAGACACGGCCCAGACUCCUACGGGAGGCAGCAGUAGGGAAUAUUGGGCAAUGGGCGAAAGCCUGACCCAGCGACGCCGCGUGAGGGAUGAAGGUCUUCGGAUUGUAAACCUCUUUCAGUAGGGAAGAAGCGAAAGUGACGGUACCUAAAGAAGAAGCACCGGCUAACUAUGUGCCAGCAGCCGCGGUAAUACAUAGGGUGCAAGCGUUGUCCGGAAUUAUUGGGCGUAAAGAGCUCGUAGGUCGUUUGUCGCGUCGAUUGUGAAAAUCUGAGGCUCAACCUCAGACCUGCAGUCGAUACGGGCAAACUAGAGUGUGGUAGGGGAGACUGGAAUUCCUGGUGUAGCGGUGGAAUGCGCAGAUAUCAGGAGGAACACCAAUGGCGANNNCAGGUCUCUGGGCCAUAACUGACACUGAGGAGCGAAAGUGCGGGGAGCGAACAGGAUUAGAUACCCUGGUAGUCCGCACCGUNNNCGGUGGGCACUAGUUGUGGGAACCU